GCGUAGGUUAUUAUUAAUUUUUCGACCGGUAGUAUAAUGGAGGCAGGAUUUUCAUGUUUGAAAAGGGAGUCAGAUAUUUCCAUGCCUGUUUAUCAAUAAUUGAUGUACACGCUUGUCAGCGCUCCAGCUAGUGGCUGCUCCAGCUAGUGGCUGCUCCAGCUAGUGGCUGCUCCGAAUACACUACACAAUACAAUCAUAGUAUUUUCAUUUCGUCCAGAAAACCAGUGGUCCCUUGCAUUCAAAGUCACUGAAUAUAAAUAAUUCCUCUGGCAUUAGUCAGACUGAGGACCUGCUGGUAACUAGUGGCCUAGCGGGGCGUUAAGGAGCAGAAAGAAGUAUUCACUGUCUGAGCACCACUCUAGUUCAAUGAGAAUGUCAAGACCUUCUAAUGCAUCCAGAAGCUAUGUGAAGAUCACCCGAUGACGGCCACUAGGGAUGCCAGGGUCGACCACCUGGUGUAGAGAUAAUGGAGAUUUGGAAGUGUUUAUCCUUCGCUGAUGCUCAUCAAACAAUCAUACUCCCCAGACAGAGCAAAUUAUUAUUGGUCAAUGCAAGAGAAAUGGAGAAAGCUCAACUGAGAUCGUUGAGCCAAGUUUGAAGCACAGCCAUAAUUCUGCUUUGUCACACAGCCACCAGCUGCACAAAUACACAGGCAUUUCUGCCUUCUCGCCAAACCGUACGGCUAAACUCUCAAUAAAUGACUACAGCCUGAAGUAGCAGGAGAAGCUGAUGCACCAACACAGCUAUGGUUUGUGGGGUCACCAUGGCAACAGCAGAAGCUGUCACCAUUCCUCCAUCACCUGUACUGCCCAUAGUUACAGUAGAGGCUAUUUGAACGCCACCACUUGUACUCACUCAUCGUCACUCACAUGUCGUGAGCCUGAAUUUUACUUUGUGGGUAGAAAUUGGAUGGGUCUUCAUGCGCUCCAUGAAAAGCUUUUGCAUUGUCUUGUUUUCUGAGUAUGGCACGUCCAUGGCUUUACCUGAAAUCCAGUAAGUUUGCAUGUCUUAUCAAGGAACCAAGGUGUUUUGAUGACAAGUAUGUGGAGACCCCCCUCCCCUAAAUCUCUAUGGGAUCAGACUCUGGUCUAUCUUCGUUUCCCAUUUCAAGGGACCAUUUUUUUUUCAUGAAUGCUUUCUCACAAUGUUUGUGGUAUUAUCAUCCAUUUCUGCCACCUGUGAGAGCCCCUACUGCUCUACUUACUUCCAAGUAUGAUUUUUGGGCACGCGGAGGAACAACUUCGCGGCAUAGGAACUUAUGUGUGUUUUGGCUGCUUGUGAGCUGACUUUUCCUUUUCAAACUCAGUUGCAUUUCUAUGAACGGAGUGCAUUGUGUGUGUGU